UCGCGGCUACACAUGCAGUCGAACGGAAAGGCCCUGCUUUUGUGGGGUGCUCGAGUGGCGAACGGGUGAGUAACACGUGAGUAACCUGCCCUUGACUUUGGGAUAACUUCAGGAAACUGGGGCUAAUACCGGAUAGGAGCUCCUGCUGCAUGGUGGGGGUUGGAAAGUUUCGGCGGUUGGGGAUGGACUCGCGGCUUAUCAGCUUGUUGGUGGGGUAGUGGCUUACCAAGGCUUUGACGGGUAGCCGGCCUGAGAGGGUGACCGGCCACAUUGGGACUGAGAUACGGCCCAGACUCCUACGGGAGGCAGCAGUGGGGAGUAUUGCACAAUGGGCGGAAGCCUGAUGCAGCAACGCCGCGUGCGGGAUGACGGCCUUCGGGUUGUAAACCGCUUUCGCCUGUGACGAAGCGUGAGUGACGGUAAUGGGUAAAGAAGCACCGGCUAACUACGUGCCAGCAGCCGCGGUGAUACGUAGGGUGCGAGCGUUGUCCGGAUUUAUUGGGCGUAAAGGGCUCGUAGGUGGUUGAUCGCGUCGGAAGUGUAAUCUUGGGGCUUAACCCUGAGCGUGCUUUCGAUACGGGUUGACUUGAGGAAGGUAGGGGAGAAUGGAAUUCCUGGUGGAGCGGUGGAAUGCGCAGAUAUCAGGAGGAACACCAGUGGCGAAGGCGGUUCUCUGGGCCUUUCCUGACGCUGAGGAGCGAAAGCGUGGGGAGCGAACAGGCUUAGAUACCCUGGUAGUCCACGCUGUAAACGGUGGGUACUAGGUGUGGGGUCCAUUCCACGGGUUCCGUGCCGUAGCUAACGCUUUAAGUACCCCGCCUGGGGAGUACGGCCGCAAGGCUAAAACUCAAAGGAAUUGACGGGGCCCC
rnacentral:rRNA from 1 species